rnacentral:ncRNA from 1 species
AAGGUCUUGGGCGAUGGCGUCCGCCUGGGGCUUCGAGCCCGAACCGCCCGCUGAGGGCUGAUGACGCCUGUUCUCCG